UGAGACUUCCGCUUCCUGUCGCCAUGUUUUUGGGGGAGUGCUUUCGUUUCGUGCUGCUGUGAAGCGUAAGAGCUGCGCUGACCGGGCAUUGUAAUCAGGCGUCAUCAACAAUAAUUCCAAAUAUGGUUAACUGUGCUGCGUUGGGAUGCAACAACGAGUCAAGGCGGAAAGCUGACUGUGGUGAAAACACGACGAAAGUCAGUUUUUUUUUCUGUUCCGACUGUUGUUCGUCGGCAGUGCAACCAGACCCUCGAGGUCUCAACGAAACGUCGGGCGGAAUGGUUUCGUCGCCUCAACCGUGGUUACAUUAAUACCAACGCUACUCACUACAAGCUCUGCAGCGAGCACUUCGUUUCUGGAAGGCCAUCCUACCUGAUGGACGUUACAAACCCAGACUGGGCACCCAGCUUACACUUGGGGUAUGACAGAAACUCAGCUGCUAAAUCUGAAGCAAGGCACCAGCGACGUUGCAAGAGGGCUGCGACCUCAAAGGAGAUCCAAGAGGGCAAUAGCAGAGUUCUCCAGCCUUCAAAUGUGUUGAACGUGCAGCACAGCGCUGUGUGCAGAACUGUCACGGGCACACCACUUGCACGCCCUGUUACAGCACAUAACAAGGAAGCUGAUGAGCCACAUGUGCCUCGUUGCGCACUCAACAGCGGUUCAGGUCAGUGCCCUAGAUAAGCUGUUCAUACAGGCUGGAUUUUACAUCACAGUGUGCUUGUAAUGGAAUUAUAUUGUUCCCGAUGGUCUUUGAGCUAGCAGGCAGUGGCAAGUUGUGUACUUUUAAUUUUUGCAUGGUUGGUCUUUCUGACAAAAAUUACAAAACCUCACUAUUUGCUCAUCCUCUACCCUAUUGCUUGCAGUAAACAGCGUCAUAUAUCCAACAGUCCUACAGCGUAAACUAUUUGGUGCUUCCCUCUCUCUGGAGUAGUGGGCCCAUUAUGUGAGCACAAAAUUGGUGGUUGUGAAAUAGCAAUGACAACACUUCAAUGCAGGUCAAUCCAUGCUGCAACAAGUACCAGCUUCAACCGUAGCUCAAGAUGCUGAUGAUACUUUUGCUGACGUUUAUUGAGUGAUUUGUGUUUACACAGUUCAAACGGCCCGAGUACUUUAAUUUAGGAACAUAACUUCAAUGAUUGACAACACCUCAUUGCAGACCCACCAUCUGUGCAAUCACCCGAGGAAGGCAGGGCCUCAGCUGAAAUGGGUUCUCCAGUUGGAGUUGUAGUGGAUGCCUCAUAUUGUGAGUACUGCAUUCGUUCAGUUGGAGCAAACCGGAAGUGUUUAACACAAGGGAUUCUAAGAGUCACAUUCCUGCAUUUUUUAUCAGAUGUAAAGUUUUCUGAAGCUGGUGUUCAAGCCACCACUUCGACAGCUGAAG
rnacentral:lncRNA from 1 species